rnacentral:misc_RNA from 1 species
GAUGAAGAACGUAGCGAAAUGCGAAAAGUAAUGUGAAUUGCAGAAUUCAGUGAACCAUCGAAUCUUUGAACGCACAUUGCGCCCGCUGGAACUCCGGCGGGCACGCCUGUCCGAGCGUCAUUUCAACCCUCAGGCCCCCCUUCGCGGGCGGGCCUGGUGUUGGGGCCCGGCCGCUACCCUGCGGCCGUCCCCUAAAUUCAGUGGCGGCCUCGCCGUGAUCCCUUGCGUAGUAAUGCACCUCGCACCGGAGAGCGCCGUGGCCACGCCGUAAAACCCCCAAUUUUCAAUGGUUGACCUCGGAUCAGGUGGGAAUACCCGCUGAACUUAAGCAUAUCAAUAACGGAGA